GUGUAGCUUAGUGGUAGAGCUCUUGCCUAGCAAGCAGAAAGCCCUGGAUUUUAUCCCCAGCAC
rnacentral:tRNA from 1 species